GAUAAGAACGUAGUGAAAUGCGAUACUUGGUGUGAAUUGCAGAAUCCCGUGAACCAUCGAGUCUUUGAACGCAAGUUGCGCCCGAAGCCAUUAGGCCGAGGGCACGCCUGCCUGGGCGUCACACGUCGUUGCCCCCCCAUCUACUCCUUCGGGAUUGCGGGGGGCGGAUGAUGGCCUCCCGUGCGCCUCGCCGCGCGGUUGGCAUAAAUGCCAAGUCCUCGGCGACGCACGCCACGACAAUCGGUGGUUGCGAAACCUCGGUUGCCCGUCGUGUGCGGUCGUCGCGCAUCGAGGGCUCGAAAAAAUUGCCGGGUUCCGGCUCGGCUUUCAACGCGACCCCAGGUCAGGCGGGGUUACCCGCUGAAUUUAAGCAUAUCAAUAAGCGGAGGA
rnacentral:misc_RNA from 1 species